AACAUGGGACUCAUUUCGUAUAUAAGGAAAAACGCAGCAAAAUGUUAUACAUUUAAAAUCAAAAUGUUCAAUGAUGAUGGUAAAACUGAUAAUUGCUUUGCCUUUUAUGAUGCACAGUAUUUCGAUAGUUGACAGUAGAUAUUGUUCCUGGUCAAAACAAACAGCUGAUCGUGUUACAUCAUGUCCCAAAACAAUGGUGGAAAUGGCAGAAAGAGAGCAGCAUAAAAACUGUUCAUCGUUGGCAUUCAUUCAAAACUGUACAGACGCCAUCAAGUUCAAGUACCACUGUGUCAUAAAUGAGUUCGAGAACGCCUUAAUUGAAGUUUGUGCACCGGAAUAUUAUAUACACGGAUUUUGCACAGAGUAUAAUGUAUAUGGAGCUGUAAUUCAACCACAUUACCACUUGAAAUGCGACACAGUCGACCCACCUUGUUCUAACCGUUACAUGUCUACAGAUGCCUAUCUUUAUGAAGGCUGUUAUAAUGUUGUGAGAGAAAAAAAUUAUUGGAGAGAACCACACAUCAAGUCGAAUGCGUCUGUCAACAAACUCAGCAACAUAUCUUCAAUAGCAAAAGGAUUAAGAGAACGCAUUCAACCCGACGGAAAAGAUGCUAUGAUUGUUGUUUUUGGGAUGAGUUUGACUAUAACUGCAUUUAUUGGCGUUUUAAUAUUAAAAAUAUUUAAACAACAAAAUACGAUUGUAAAAAGGACUGAUCGCAGUGUUGAAGAGUGUUCGCUAUGAAUUUGAAGGAUGACCAAAGGCAAUAUCUCACUGAUCCCAAGAUACCAAGAAAAUCGAAGCAUUCUCUUUUUAGUAUACAUGUGUCAGCAACUUUAUACCCAAUUACAGUCAGCUUCCCAACACUGUCAGAACCAAGAUCCAAUAAUGAAGAAUUAUUGUACUGAAAGGAUUGGAUACUUUUCACUCUAACCAAUGGUGUCGCAACAACCGUCUUCUGUCUUCUAGCAGUUAUCCCACAUCAAGUCUCCUGCCUCUAAUGUGAAAUUAAAAGACACCGUCUUUAAUAUUUUUUUUCAGAUUCGUCAUGAAAAAAAACGUUGCAUAUUCUUUAAGCCUACUUCUGUAAUGAGUGAAAUUAUCUUCAAAUAAUUCCGACCUGAAUGUACGCAAUGAUAACGAGAUUCAAGCAUUUAGAGACGAACUGAUAUUGUCAAGAUAAAUGAAAUCAGCUAAUCCAAGGCGGAGGCUGUGGAAUAAAAGGUGUUCCGAAAUUUGACAGCAUCCCAAAUCUUUGCGAUGUGUUGACGAAUUUUACAGUGUAUCUACAUGUACACCUGUAGUGUAGAACAUUCUGCGACCAAUUUUCCUCAAUACGAACAAUACGGUUUUCCACCUAACUUUGCAGCAACUUUACAUGGCCAACCAAGUGAUUCUCUUGAUGACGCUAUACCUAACGGCGAUGAAAUGUUCGCAGCAAUCAAAGUCAUGAAGAUUUUGACUCUAGUGCUUACAAACAGUCUAGGAAACUACGAAUGGACUUAUUUGAAGCAAAUGGACGACGAGGGAAGGACAUUUGUGCAUAAGAAGGGCGUAUAAAAAUUGGUGGACAAUGGAUGUUUGAACUUAUCUUCACAGCUACAGUAUAUGUGCACAGGAAUGUUUAUUAACUGUCUUGAAACUAACAUCCUCUUGUUAUCGAAAAAAGCAAUGCCUGUCCAAAAAUUGAUAGAGCAAUAGUUUAAAGGGGCAUGGUCACGAUUUUGGUCAAAUCUUUGAGUUUUAAGCAAGAUAAAUGGCUCACAAUUCUUCGUCAUGUAAACAAGGCUCGUGCCAUGUUUUUGUUUACAUAGGUUCAAUAUACCAGUAAAAAAUCUUUUUCAAGCUGAUUUGUCUAUCUCCUUAUUCAUUUUAAGCAUAUUUAACAGUUCCUAACGAUUAACACAUUUAUUUGAGGUCUAAAACUGGAAUUUUUUCUUCAACAUUCAAAAUGAAAACAAACGCUUUGUUUACAUAGCGAAGAAUUGUAAGCUCUGUAACUCGCAUAUAACUCAACAAAUGACACUCAAAUUUUUUUUGCAUAUUAAAAAUGCCUUACUGAGGCAUUAUAAACAUUUUAAAAAAAAUUAAUAUUUUGACCAAAAUUGUGACCAUGCCCCUUUAAGACCUUAGAUUAAGUGUGUGAUGUAGGACUAACUGCAUUGGAUUUCCUCAUGUUAGUAUUAAGUUUUUAUUCAGCGAUUCUUGAGCAAGUGCAUGUAACGAAUUGAGCUUUCCCCUGAAUUUAGCAUAUAAAUUUUAAGAACCUUUACAUUACAAUUUAUAAUAUUAAUCAAAUACAAGAUACGUUCGAAAAUGUUGUAUAUUAUUUUUAGAAGAAAGCUGUGGUACACCCUACGGGUUAACAACAAAUUCACGAUUAAUACUUAAAUUCAAGCUUAAACUUUAAUGAUAAAACUUGUAUUUGAACUCUAUAGUGCCCAAAAAAGGAAUAUCAAUAUUAAUGCGUGCAAUCCAAGCAACUUGAAAACAUAUUUUUUAACCACUUUCAGUACUUUGAUUUAUGUUUAUUAUGCUUAAGUAAGGCAUUUCUAUUAGUCAACUACAAUUUGAGUGUUAGUCGUCGAGUUAUAAGCUCUCACAAUUCUUCGUUAUGUAAACAAAGCCCGGGUUUUUCGUUUACAUUUUGAAUGUUGAAAAAAAUCCAGGUUGUGACCUUAAAUGAACAUGACAGUAUAGGAACGGUUUCAAAAUUAAGUUCUCAUUAGAAAUGAAUUACAUCAUUGUAAACAUUUUUAUAAAAAAUAAACUAAGACCAAAAUAGGGACCAUGCCAAUUUGCUAGAUUAUCCAAUUAUCUAAAAAAAAAAUUACAAUCGGUUAAUUAUUCGCUGUGUUAGAAUCAUUUUAAUAUUAUUCAAACUGAAUCAAGGCAUAUCUGCAUACUUCUCUAUUACGACUUCCUUCAAAAAGAAUAAAGAUUCUAUUUUACA